UACGAAGGGUGCGAGCGUUGUUCGGAAUUACUGGGCGUAAAGGGUUUGUAUGCUGAAAUGUAAGUCAAGUGUGAAAUCCCCGAGCUAAACUUGGGACGUGCAUUUGAAACUGUGUUUCUUGAGUAUCGUAGAGGGUGGUGGAAUUGUAGGUGUAGGAGUGACAUCCGUAGAGAUCUGCAGGAACAUCAGAGGCGAAGGCGACCACCUGGCCGAUGACUGACGCUGAGGAACGAAAGCGUGAGGAGCAAACAGG
rnacentral:rRNA from 1 species